rnacentral:rRNA from 1 species
AGAGCGGCGCACGGGUGCGUAACGCGUAUGCAAUCUACCUCUAACUGGGGGAUAGCCCAAAGAAAUUUGGAUUAACACCGCAUAAUAUUAUCGAAUGGCAUCAUUUGAUAAUCAAAACUCCGGUGGUUAGAGAUGAGCAUGCGUGACAUUAGCUAGUUGGUAAGGUAACGGCUUACCAAGACAGCGAUGGGUAGGGGCCCUGAGAGGGGGAUCCCCCACACUGGUACUGAGACACGGACCAGACUUC